AUAUCAAACCCAGCGAGUCUUACGUAGAGCUGAGGGUCUUGUCGUAUACUGAGCCUCUCAAACCCUUCAUUGCUAUAGUGGUUGAAGUUAUUGUCCUUGUCACACUGAUUUUGCUUUGGGAAAAAUGCAACAAGCCACAAAAUGACAACUUUUCUGCAGGAGAGAAUGAUCCCUGCUCUGAACAAACCAGCAAUCUCACUCGUGAUGAGAGCAAUGGAGUGGAGAACAACACAGCAAGACAAAGAAAACUGGAGCACUGAGGUUUUCAUUUUAACAGUUGAAAAAAAGUGAUUAUGUAAAACCUUUUUAUUCUGCUUUAUAAUCUUGUGGCUUGAAUCACAUAAAGUAACAAGAAAUAAGUUUUUCUGCCUAAAUUAAUUCUGUCACAGCAAUAUAUGUAAACAUAUAUGUGACC